AUGUUCCUGUUAACCCCGGAUCAGUGUCACAUUCUGCAUUUAAAGUUAGUGAUGGCCCACUUGACAGAAAGAUUAAUAACCAUGAAAUGGCUUGUGUUGGCUGGCUUCUAGCCAUGUGUUAUUUAUAGUCACCUCACACUGUUUUUCUCAGAAGUAAUCCUGGUCCCUCGUGACAAACCACUUGGUCUUCAGGCUACUAGUUCAUCCCCUUGGGAACCAGAUUACUGCUGAGAAAAAAACGAUCAGGCUACUAAUUAUUUGCUGUUACAACUGCAAGGUGUUUGAAAAAUAGAGAAACUGAGGCAUGGAGAUGUUAAGUGACUUUGCCUAACAUCAAAGACUGAGUUAGUGGCAGAAUCAGGAAUGCGAUCCAGAUCUCCUGACUUCCAGUAUAUGGCCUCUUCACUAGACCACUCUGUCUCUGUGGGGAAAACAACUCAUUCUCCAGAACAGGACAACAUUCACAGCCACACCUGCCUAAGAGUACUGCUCCUCCCACCUACAGCCUUCCCUGCUUGAAUCCUGAAGAAUGACCCAAGUGGAGAAUCAGUUAGACACGCUGCAGUCAGGUGCAGCCGGCAUGCUCUGCCUCUGCUGGUUUCCAUGAACCUGGAGUGCUGCCCACACGGCUGGGAAGAACACCGCUUCAGAGGGCGUUUACACGUACCAACUAAUUAA